rnacentral:misc_RNA from 1 species
AUGAAGAACGCAGCGAAAUGCGAUAAGUAGUGUGAAUUGCAGAAUUCAGUGAAUCAUCGAAUCUUUGAACGCACAUUGCGCCCCUUGGUAUUCCAUGGGGCAUGCCUGUUCGAGCGUCAUCUACACCCUCAAGCUCUGCUUGGUGUUGGGCGUCUGUCCCGCCCCCGCGCGUGGACUCGCCCCAAAUCCAUUGGCAGCGUUCCUUGCCCCCUCUCGCGCAGCACAUUGCGCUUCUCGAGGGCGGCUCCGGGACGCGAUCCAGCAAGAUGACCACCGUCUUUGACCUCGGAUCAGGUAGGGAUACCCGCUGAACUUAAGCAUAUCAAUAAGCGGAGGA